rnacentral:rRNA from 1 species
UACGAAGGGGGCUAGCGUUGUUCGGAAUUACUGGACGUAAAGCGCACGUAGGCGGAUUGCUAAGUCAGGGGUGAAAUCCUGGAGCUCAACUCCAGAACUGCCUUUGAUACUGGUGAUCUUGAGUCCGGGAGAGGUGAGUGGAACUGCGAAGUGUAGAGGUGAAAUUCGAUAGAUAUUCGCGAAGAACACCAGUGGCGAAGGCGGCUCUCUGGGCCUUACCUGACGCUGAGGAGCGAAAGUGAUGG